CCUCUCCCUGUGACCCCUGCCCAGUCAUCCCUCACCCCCUCCUGCCCCCCUGCACGGUGCUGCCAGCGGGGGUGAUGGGAGGUGGAGGUGGGCCACACACACCUGGGUUAGCUGUGGCUUGGCUUAUCUCCCUCCUCAGCAGCAAAUCCCGAGGAUCAACGGGGACAUGGUGGACCCAGAGAUUGCAGCAGCAGCAAGAGAGAGAGAAGCAAGAAAGAGAGGAGGGAGAGGAAGGAGAGGAGGAGGAGAGAGAGGGAGGCCAGGAGGGAGGCACGUCAGAGAGAGAGGGAGAGGAAGAGGUUGAUUCUGUUACAACAACAACUGCAACAACAACAACAGUUAGUCAGUGAGGAGGGGGAGGGAGCCGUCCUCUGAUGCUGAGGAUGAGGUAUUGUUCAGGGAGGCCAUGUCGGAGGUGCCGGUGGUGGGGUCGCCAGUUCCGGAGUACGAGGUGGAGGAGGAAAAGGAAGAGGAGGACGAGGAGGAGGCACGGAUAAGGAAGAAGAAAAGAUUAUUACCUGUAGCCCUCCCUCCAGCUGAUAAGGGGAUAUUAAGGAGCCCUUCCCU